rnacentral:rRNA from 1 species
CGUAGAGAAAUCGAGUCUUAAUAGGGCGUUUAGUUGCUGGGUAUAGACCCGAAACCAGGCGAUCUAUCCAUGAGCAGGUUGAAGGUUGGGUAACACUAACUGGAGGACCGAACCCACUGUCGUUGAAAAGCCAGGGGAUGACUUGUGGAUAGGGGUGAAAGGCUAAUCAAGCCUGGUGAUAGCUGGUUCUCCCCGAAAGCUAUUUAGGUAGCGCCUCGGACGAAUACCAUAGGGGGUA